UGGGGAAUAUUGCACAAUGGGGGAAACCCUGAUGCAGCGACGCCGCUUGAGCGAAGAAGGUUUUCGAAUCGUAAAGCUCUGUCCUAUGGGAAGAUAAUGACGGUACCAUAGGAGGAAGCCCCGGCUAACUACGUGCCAGCAGCCGCGGUAAUACGUAGGGGGCACGCUAUGUCCGGAAUCUCUGGGCGUAAAGGGUUCGCAGGCGGAAAUGCAAGUCAGUUGUGAAAGGCAGAUGCUCAACCUCUGUAAGCAAUUGAAACUGUAUUUCUGGAGAUGUGGAGAUGCAAGUGGAAUUCCUGGUGUAGCGGUGAAAUGCGUAAAUAGUAGGAAGAAUACCGGUGGCGAAGGCGACUUGCUGGACACAAACUGACGCUGAGGAACGAAAGCGUGGGUAGCAAACAGG
rnacentral:rRNA from 1 species